GGCUUAGCUUAGUUGGUAGAGCAACGCACUCGUAACGCGUAGGUCGUAGGUUCAAGUCCUAUAGCCGG
rnacentral:tRNA from 1 species